GAUGAACGCUGGCGGCGUGCUUAACACAUGCAAGUCGAGCGAGAAGUUUUGAAAAGAUUCUUCGGAUGAAAUUUAAAAUGGAAAGCGGCGGACGGGUGAGUAACGCGUAGGCAACCUGCCCCAUACAAAGGGAUAGCAUUUGGAAACGAAUAUUAAUACCUUAUGAAACUUACCUAGUGCAUGCUAGGUAGGUCAAAGAUUUAUCGGUAUGGGAUGGGCCUGCGUCUGAUUAGCUAGUUGGUGAGGUAACGGCUCACCAAGGCGACGAUCAGUAGCCGACCUGAGAGGGUGAACGGCCACAUUGGAACUGAGACACGGUCCAAACUCCUACGGGAGGCAGCAGUGGGGAAUAUUGCACAAUGGGGGAAACCCUGAUGCAGCAACGCCGCGUGAACGAGGAAGGCCUUUGGGGCGUAAAGUUCUGUUCUAGGUGGUGAAAACUGACAGUAACCUAGGAGAAAGCCCCGGCUAACUCCGUG
rnacentral:rRNA from 1 species